rnacentral:rRNA from 1 species
UACGGAGGAUGCAAGCGUUAUCCGGAAUCAUUGGGCGUAAAGAGUCUGUAGGUGGCAUUUAAAGUCUGCCGUCAAAGACCGAAGCUCAACUUCGGGCAGGCGGUGGAAACUGAAAAGCUAGAGUAUAGUAGGGGUAGAGGGAAUUCCUAGUGUAGCGGUGAAAUGCGUAGAGAUUAGGAAGAACACCAGUGGCGAAGGCGCUCUACUGGGCAUAUACUGACACUGAGAGACGAAAGCUAGGGUAGCGAAAGGG